AACGAACGCUGGCGGCAUGCCUAACACAUGCAAGUCGAACGAGACCUUCGGGUCUAGUGGCGCACGGGUGCGUAACGCGUGGGAACCUGCCCUUAGGUUCGGAAUAACUCCCCGAAAGGGGUGCUAAUACCGGGUAAUGUCUUCGGACCAAGAUUUAUCGCCUUUGGAUGGGCCCGCGUUGGAUUAGCUAGUUGGUAGGGUAAAAGCCUACCAAGGCGACGAUCCAUAGCUGGUCUGAGAGGAUGAUCAGCCACACUGGGACUGAGACACGGCCCAGACUCCUACGGGAGGCAGCAGUGGGGAAUAUUGGACAAUGGGCGAAAGCCUGAUCCAGCAAUGCCGCGUGAGUGAUGAAGGCCUUAGGGUUGUAAAGCUCUUUUACCCGGGAUGAUAAUGACAGUACCGGGAGAAUAAGCUCCGGCUAACUCCGUG
rnacentral:rRNA from 1 species